rnacentral:rRNA from 1 species
GUGGGGAAUAUUGGGCAAUGGGGGAAACCCUGACCCAGCAACGCCGCGUGAAGGAAGAAGGUUUUCGGAUCGUAAACUUCUAUCCUUGGUGAAGAUAAUGACGGUAGCCGAGAAGGAAGCCCCGGCUAACUACGUGCCAGCAGCCGCGGUAAUACGUAGGGGGCAAGCGUUGUCCGGAAUGAUUGGGCGUAAAGGGCGCGUAGGCGGCCUGGUAAGUCUGGAGUGAAAGUCCUGCUUUUAAGGUGGGAAUUGCUUUGGAUACUGUCGGGCUUGAGUGCAGGAGAGGUAAGUGGAAUUCCCGGUGUAGCGGUGAAAUGCGUAGAGAUCGGGAGGAACACCAGUGGCGAAGGCGACUUACUGGACUGUAACUGACGCUGAGGCGCGAAAGUGUGGGGAGCAAACAGGAUUAGAAACCCGUGUAGUCC